GCGUGCGGGCGAUACGGGCAGACUGGAGUACUGCAGGGGAGACUGGUAUUUCUGGUGUAGUGGUGGAAUGCGCAGAUAUCAGGAGGAACACCGGUGGCGAAGGCGGGUCUCUUGGCAGUAACUUACGCUGAGGAGCGAAAGCGUUGGGGAGCGAACAGGAUUAGAUACCCUGGUAGUCCACGCCGUAAACGGUGGGUACUAGGUGUGGGUUUUCUUCCUUGGGAACCGUGCCGUAGCUAACGCAUUAAGUACCCCGCCUGGGGAGUACGGCCGCAAGGCUAAAACUAAAAGAAAUUAACGGGGGCCCGCACAAGCGGCGGAGCAUGUGAAUUAAUACGAUGCAACGCGAAGGACCUUACCUGGGUUUAACAUGCACAGGACGCGUCAAAAAAUAGGCGUUCCCUUGUGGCCUGUGUGCAGGUGGUGCAUGGCUGUCGUCAGCUCGUGUCGUGAGAUGUUGGGUUAAGUCCCGCAACGAGCGCAACCCUUGUCUCAUGUUGCCAGCACGUGAUGGUGGGAACUCGUAAGAAACUGCCGGGGUCAACUCGGAGGAAGGUGGGGGUGACGUCAAGUCAUCAUGCACCUUAUGUCCGGGGCAUCACACAUGCUACAAUGGCCGGUACAAGAGGGCUGCGAUGCCGUGAGGUGGAGCAAAUCCUUGGUAAAGCCGGUCUCAGUUCGGAUCGGGGUCUGCAACUCGACCCCGUGAAG
rnacentral:rRNA from 1 species